GACGAACGCUGGCGGCGUGCUUAACACAUGCAAGUCGAACGGAAAGGCCCUGCUUUUGUGGGGUGCUCGAGUGGCGAACGGGUGAGUAACACGUGAGUAACCUGCCCUUGACUUUGGGAUAACUUCAGGAAACUGGGGCUAAUACCGGAUAGGAGCUCCUGCUGCAUGGUGGGGGUUGGAAAGUUUCGGCGGUUGGGGAUGGACUCGCGGCUUAUCAGCUUGUUGGUGGGGUAGUGGCUUACCAAGGCUUUGACGGGUAGCCGGCCUGAGAGGGUGUCCGGCCACAUUGGGACUGAGAUACGGCCCAGACUCCUACGGGAGGCAGCAGUGGGGAAUAUUGCACAAUGGGCGGAAGCCUGAUGCAGCAACGCCGCGUGCGGGAUGACGGCCUUCGGGUUGUAAACCGCUUUCGCCUGUGACGAAGCGUGAGUGACGGUAAUGGGUAAAGAAGCACCGGCUAACUACGUGCCAGCAGCCGCGGUGAUACGUAGGGUGCGAGCGUUGUCCGGAUUUAUUGGGCGUAAAGGGCUCGUAGGUGGUUGAUCGCGUCGGAAGUGUAAUCUUGGGGCUUAACCCUGAGCGUGCUUUCGAUACGGGUUGACUUGAGGAAGGUAGGGGAGAAUGGAAUUCCUGGUGGAGCGGUGGAAUGCGCAGAUAUCAGGAGGAACACCAGUGGCGAAGGCGGUUCUCUGGGCCUUUCCUGACGCUGAGGAGCGAAAGCGUGGGGAGCGAACAGGCUUAGAUACCCUGGUAGUCCACGCUGUAAACGGUGGGUACUAGGUGUGGGGUCCAUUCCACGGGUUCCGUGCCGUAGCUAACGCUUUAAGUACCCCGCCUGGGGAGUACGGCCGCAAGGCUAAAACUCAAAGGAAUUGACGGGGCCCCGCACAAGCGGCGGAGCAUGCGGAUUAAUUCGAUGCAACGCGUAGAACCUUACCUGGGUUUGACAUGGAUCGGGAGCGCUCAGAGAUGGGUGUGCCUCUUUUGGGGUCGGUUCACAGGUGGUGCAUGGCUGUCGUCAGCUCGUGUCGUGAGAUGUUGGGUUAAGUCCCGCAACGAGCGCAACCCUUGUUCACUGUUGCCAGCACGUUAUGGUGGGGACUCAGUGGAGACCGCCGGGGUCAACUCGGAGGAAGGUGGGGAUGACGUCAAGUCAUCAUGCCCCUUAUGUCCAGGGCUUCACGCAUGCUACAAUGGCUGGUACAGAGAGUGGCGAGCCUGUGAGGGUGAGCGAAUCUCGGAAAGCCGGUCUCAGUUCGGAUUGGGGUCUGCAACUCGACCUCAUGAAGUCGGAGUCGCUAGUAAUCGCAGAUCAGCAACGCUGCGGUGAAUACGUUCCCGGGGCU
rnacentral:rRNA from 1 species